AUUCCACCGCAGGACUCCGAAGAGGUGCGCCUAUGCUUGGCUGGGGCUGAGGUCACCAAGAGUCCUCUCGGAGGGACGUUACUACACGCGCUGGCGAGGCCCAGGAGUCGUGGUGCGAGGGGUACUAUCUGUGAAACGAGGGCUGCCUGUCCCAGCAGCCAGCUUUGUACAGAGACGUCCCGGAGCCACGAGAGAGUAACGGCUAACCCGGGGGAGGGGGUGGCGAGGGUGAUUCCAGGCACUUUGUGAAGAAACGAGCUAUGGCGAGGGAAGAAUCCACUUUGAAGAGCGGCCCCCGCCCUGCCCGAUACGUUACUUCCGGGGCGGGGCGGGCAGAGGGGCCCGGAUGUGCCGCCGCUUUUUAGUUUCUGAGGCGCCGGCGGUGUUCCUGGUAGCGUCAGCCUCCUGGCUUUUCCUUUUCCUGGACGCUUCAGGGCUCCGCGGCCUGCGCUAGACUGGAGGGUCCGCGUCACUCUCGCCCUCCUGCUUUCCGCGCUCUCACCCGCUCCCGCCUCCUGAGGGCACGACUUGUGGAGGAGCGCGGGCGGCGGGGCGUGAGCGAGCUGCCUCUGCCGCCAUCUUAGAGAAGGCGAGCGUGGGGUGUGCGUGGGCGCGAGUCGGCCUCCCGCGGUGCCGCCGCAGCGUGGCGCGGAGAGGCAGGGGCAUCCAGUGGUUCAAGGUUACAAUAAGCUGUGAUCGUGCCACUGCAUUCUACCUGGGAUGACAGAGUGGGACCCUGUGCCACAGAGUGAGACCCUGUCUCAAAAAAAAAAAAACUAUGUAAAUCCAAGGUAUGAUUUAAAUACUUUUAACACGUGUUCAUUUUAAUCACACUUGUGGCUGUAUUCCUCUUGUGUUUAUAUCUCUCAAUAUGUAUACUGUUAUUAAUGUGGCAUAUAUAUAAAAUCUUCACUGUUAAAAAUAUUUUCAAAAAAUCAGUGCAGCUUAUAAAUUUACAGUGAUUUAUGCCUGUGCUCAUGAUGGGUACGAUUUUGCUGAUGUGAAACUAAAAUUAUGCAAUAAUUAAGUGAGAUGCUUUACAAUGGAGUUUGACUGUAUUAUCUUGGACAAUAAUUAUAACUAACAUUUAUUGAGGGUUUUCUUUGUGCCAGUCAUUGCUCUGUGAGUUAACUCAGUCGUCACAACACGAUAAAACAGGUACUAUUACAGUUCUCAUUUUUACAUAGUGAGAAAAUGAGGACCAGAAACUUAAAUAAUUUUGCCAAGGCCGUAAGUUAGUAACUAAUUGUCAGGAUACACACUCAGACAAGGGCCUGUAUUUGCCAAGCUACCUCUCUAGGGUACCAGUGGUUAUAUAAACUGAGCAAACUGGCUGGGUGCGGUGGCUCAUGCCUGUAAUCCCAGCGCUUUGGGAGGCCAAGGCAGGUAGAUCAUGAAGUCAGGAGAUCAAGACCAUCCUGAUUAACACGGUGAAACCCCGUCUCUACUAAAAAUACAAAAAAUUAGCCAGGUGUGGUGGCACACACCUGUAGUCCCAGCUACUUGGGAGGCUGAGGCAAGAGAAUUGUUUGAACCCACGAGGCGGAGGUUGCAAUGAGCUGAGAUUGUGCCAUUGCUCUCCAGCCUGGAAGACAGAGUGAGACUCCAUCUCUAAAUAAAUAAAUAAUAGAGCAAACUAAUAUAGUAGAAGGUGAAGUGUAUGAUAGCUAUACCUUUUAGAAUGAUUCAGUCAGUUAAUCCAAUGAUAAUCAGGCCCUCUAGGAUUUAAGCAUGCAUCCAAAAUCACCAGACAGUGAUUUCUAGAACAGAAGAAUUACUCAUUUCUAAUGGAAGAUACAUAUAUUUGUCUGAAAACAAGAAUCCUCAUCUUCAUAAAGCACAUUCCUUCCACAUGUUAAAUCAAAAAUCUGUCUGGCCAACAUGAUGAAACCCUAUAUCUACCAAAACUACAAAAAUUAGAUGGGCAUGGUGGCACACACCUGUAAUCCCAGUUACUUGGGAGGCUGAGACAGGAGCAUCGCUUGAACCAGGGAAGACAGAGGUUGCAGUGAGCCGAGAUCAUGCCACUGCACUCCAGCCUGGGUGACAGGGCAAGACUCUGUCUCAAAAAAUAAAAAUAAAAAAAUCUGACUGUUCAAGAAUCCCAGACUUCCCUGCUAAUGGGCAUCUCCAUUUGGAUGUCCCAUAAUCAACUUCGAUUUAAAAUAUCCAAAAUUUGGCCUUAUUACUUUUAUGCUCCAAUUUAAUGUUUGUUUCCUGUAUUCCUUUUCUUGAUAAUUGGAAUCACUACCCCUCUGGUCGCCUGAGUUGGAAAUCUGGUAGUAAUCCUAGACACCUCUCUAUAACUUAACUUUCUUAGCCAAUCCAGUCUCCAAGUUCAGGACAUUCUGCUUUCUUAGUCUCACUCGUUCUCACUGCUUUUCCUUCUUCCCUGCUGCCACUGUUUUUGAACAGGUCCCAUCUCACUGGGAUUAGCUGAGGAGACAUUUCCCGUGAUUUUUUCUAUCUGUAAUCUGGAAACUCCUACUAGAAUGAUCUUAAAAUAGAAAUCUGAUCAUGUCUUUCCUCUAGACAAUUUUUAGCAAUUUUUCAUAACUUUUAGGAAAAUGUCCAGAUUCCUAAGCUGAACAUAGAAAGCUCAUUGUAAUUUGGUACCAGCCUACUUUUCUAAAAAAUGGUCCAGUCAUCCUCCCUGUCUGGUGGUGCAAGAUCAGUGGCAGGGCAGGCUAGGGAGUAUGCAGGAGGAUGGCUGAGGUUCUAUGGUAAGGCAUAUCUCUACUAUACUAUCAGUAGGCAAACACCAGGAUGUGUGUCCCCUGGAAGUGCAGAGUCAGGUCUGCAGUAAACAACGCAAAUUUGAGAGUUAGAAUAAGAGCAGAAACCAAGGUAGGAAGCCAAAUUGAACCCAUUGGUGAACCAAUGAAUGAGGAGGGUUGGGAGAAAGUUAUGUCUGAAGGAAUUCCUGAGAGAUUUACACGUGUUUGUAGGAAACUUUUUUUAAAAGUUAUUUACAUGCAAACUAUGAAGGCAUAUUUGGUUUUAGGAAAAUAAACUAAAUUUGAAUAGGUAUAAACCACUUGUCACCGAGAGAUGUUAUACUGUUUCAUGUCUCUGUGCCUAUCAGAUGUCAUUGCCUCUCCCUGAAAUGCCCUCUGCUGCCUCCCUAUUCUCUAACUCCUACUUAUUCCAUAGCCCAGUUCAAGCACCAUCUCUUCUGUAAAUAGCAAUCACCAACAUAAAUUGAGCAUUUACAGUCUCCAGGCACUAUGCCAAAUGCUCUAAUACAUAAUCUCAUUUAAACCUCAUUAGGAAAGCUGCCUCUCUUUUCCUUGUUUUACAGAUUAAUAAAUUCAUGUUUAGAGAGAUGAAUUGAUUUGCAUGAGGUCAUGCAACAAUUAAGUUAUGGAAUGGAGAAUUAAGCCCAGAGGGUCUGACUCCAGAGUUUGAGCUUGUUACCACCAUUGGCCUUCACCAAUUCCCUAGGCUGAUUUGAGAUGCCUUUCCAUGUGCAUUUGUGCUUAUAUCAUCAUAGCCACAUCCAUCUCUGAUAUGAUCUUUUCUUUAUCUGUUUCUCCCAGUGGUUAAAAAGCUCCUAAAAAUCAAGAGACAAGUAUCUACCACAAAAGUAAAAUUUCAAUAAACAUUUGUUUAAUUAAUAAAUUAGCAUUUUCCGGCUGGGCAUGGUGGCUCACACCUGUAAUCCCAGCACUUUGAAAGGCUGAGAUGGGCAGAUCACGAGGUCAGGAGUUCCAGGCCAGCCUGGCCAACAUAAUGAAACCCCGUCUCUACUGAAAAUACAAAAACUAGCUGGAUGUGGAGGUGCAUGUCUGUAGUCCCAGCUACGCAGGAGACUGAGGCAGGAGAAUCACUUGAACCCGGGAGGCAGAGGUUGCAGUUAGCCAAGAUCGCACCACUGCACUCCAGCCUGGGCAACAGAGUGAGACUCCCUCUCAAAAUAAAUAAAUAAACAAAAAUACAAUAAUUAUUUUCCAACAAGUUGCUUAGGGAGUAGUAAGUGAGGACACUUGAGUGUCGUACCCAGGAAAUUCAUGUCAAUUAAAUGUGGCCUGUUUUGUUAUGCUUUUGUCCUUUCAGGAUAGUUCUUUAGUAAAAUCUGGGGUCAGUCAACUAGAAUCAGGCUAUUCUCUUGUCUAGACAGUAUUACAUAUAUAGAUAAAACAUUAUUUUUGUCUUUCUCAAUACUUUAUGCAGUUAACUGCCUCUUUGCUUCUGAUAAUCAUUAUCAUGUGACAGUUUUCAAGAUAGUUACUCAUGCAUGGCAUAUUUAAAGAAAAUGUUUUUCCUAAUUCAUUCUUAUUUUGCAUCCAGGUUUGACUUUCACAAGGUAUUAUGUCUUAUCCUUUUUCUAAUUUUUGUGUUUGGAGAUUUUAGCAUAAUCCUAGAUAAUGAUUGUUUCCUGUGACUUCAAUGCUAUAUGACUACACUAGACAUCGAAUAACCAUGGCUUGAUAAAAGUUGUAUUCAGCUAAUUAUUUCAAAUUAGUUUUAGGGCCUUAUUCCAGCUCACGAAUAAGGACCCCUCAAGUUUCAAAGAGAAGGAAAAAUGGCGAGGAAAAACACUAAAAUAACUACUGGCAAGGGUGUGUGUUCUCUUGUUCCAAAUAGGCCCAAGAAAAGUAGUCAUUAGUCUUACUAAGACAAGUGCCUCUAGACCCUGACAAGUGAAAAGAGAGGCAGAUCUACAUGCAAGGAGAGAAGCUUGUAAGCUCUUUUAAGAACUGCGUGUUCUCCCACCCACAACUCUGGGGACUGCAAAGCAAUUUUAACUUGCCUACCAAAUGGUCAGAAGGAGCACGAGGAAAUUUUAUCUCACUCAUUCCAGAUGUAAUCCUGCGCAACAUCAGUCAAACUUUUUUUUCUUUCAAAUAGAACACGACAGACUGUGACAAAGUUUGAAUACUCACUCAAACUUCACAGUGCAAGAACAAAGAAAUAGGUCAACAUUUUUGUGAGCUAAAUACAGCAUUUAUAUUAGAAGAAGGGAUUGAAAGAUAUUAGAUGUUGUGUCAAGACCACUGAUUUCAAGUGGAUGACUUGCUAGGUUUUAAGGUUCGAUGAGAAUGUAGCGUGGAGUAGCCCAAUGUAGGGUGGUAUAGAUCCCACCUCUAAUCAAGGGCUUCCCUUACCUUGAAGAGCAAAGGGCGGCUCUGUAGCUCCUGCCUUUGUCUUCAGUGCUUUCCAUCGCUGCAACUGCUACACGUCCCAUAACUGCUACCCAGCCUCCAACAACAGGGGCAAGUCUCCAGGGCUUUUCUCCAUCUGACAUAAUAUAGGUAGACAUCAUAGAAGAUAUGUGCAAGAUGGCUCAGUACAGGGUAAAAAGAGCCAGGGGACAACAAGAAAUACUCCUCUGUUGCGUUAGUCUUCUGAGAUGUUAGGGUUUAUCUGAUACAGCAACUAGCUUUAACCCUAUAAUAUUGGGCUUCCACAGAAUUGGAAUGUACCUGCAAACCUAGAGAAAAAGCUAAAUUUUCGGAGUCAGAUCACCUAGUUUUCUUUUGGUUCUUCAAUUUUUAAAAACAAUUUUUUUUAAAUCAGUCUUAGCUCUGUUUUCUUAUAUUAAACAAAGGAUUACAGGUCAUCCUUAGGGCAGACUGUUAAGGAACGAGCAGCUCAUGUCUGAGGCUAGAUUUUUGGUGAUGGCAGCAUUAAUUAGUGUUAGACAUUAAAGAAAGUCAAGUCUAAAGGAUAGAAUCAGGACUAUGUGGUCCAGUUCUCUGUCCCAAAGGAAAUUUUACUUUGAGUUUCAACUCCAGAGACUCUAACCUUUUUUAUUUUAGAGUUAUUUGUUUCGUUUAGCUUUUAUUCUUAUUAAGAAAGAUGGCAUGUUUUUACUAAGAUCUUACCAUCACAGGAGUUCAAGACCAGUCUGGGCAACAUGGCAAAUCCCUGUCUCUACAAAACAUACAAAAAUAAGCCAGGUGUGGUGGCAUGUGCCUGUAGUCCCAACUACCUGGGGGGCUGAGGUGGAAGGAUUACUUGAGCCCAGGAGGUCAAGGCUGCAGUGAGCCAAGGUCAUAUCACUGCACCCCAGCCUGGGCAACAAAGUGAGAACCUGUCUCAAAAAUUUGUUUUAAAAAAGACCUUAAAUGGCUAUUACUGAAGUAAUUUUAUAGUGACAGAAAAUAUGUUUUCUUAAGUAGAUGGUAUCUGUAUUGAAAUAAUAUUUACAGUUUUACAUAUUUAGUUCAAAGGUAAAAUCCAAUCUACCCUUGGGCCAAAUUAUCCUGCACUAUAGGCUGGUAGGAUAUAAAUUAAUCUUACUGCUAUCAAUAUGACCAGUUGUUAUCCAAAUUUAUUAAUAUAAAAUCAACAAGGUAGAUAAAUUUGAGAAACUAGUGGACCCUUGUACAGUAAAUAAUAUUAAAGUUAGUUGGUAAAAAAUAAGUGAAAUGUGUAAACAAAAGUUAACUUUUAUAUUCAAAGUUAUUAAGAAAGCCAGAAGAGGAAAUGCUUCUAUAAUAAUAAUAAUUAUUAUUAUUAUUAUUUAGACAGAGUCUCUGUUGCCCAGGCUGGAGUACAGUGAGACCAUCUUUCAAUCUCUGCCUUCCGGGUUCAAGUGAUUCUCCUGCUUCAGCCUCCAGGAUUACAGGUGCAUGCCACCAUGCCCAGCCAAUUUUUGUACAUUUUUUAGUAGAGACAGGGUUUCACCAUGUUGGCCAGGCUGGUCUUGAACUCCUGACCUAAAGUAAUCCACCACCUCAGGCUCCCAACGUGCUGGGAUUACAGGUGUGAGCCACCGUGCCCAGCCAUUUUUUGUUGUUAUUGUUUGUUUUCAUGAUUUCCUACAGGAAAAAAGCAAAAUAAAAAACUGUAAAGAAAAAAUGUCUUCAAAUUAAGAAGUUUCAAAUGUUAGGGUGGUCCCAAAAUGCAGUAAGAUCAAAACUUUGUGAUUACAGAAGAAAGCAUGUACAAGCAGAAUCAUAGAAAAAUUACCUCCUGAAAUAUCAGAACAGGAGCUUCCUUAAAAAACUCAAGUUGCUUAAGAAUUAGAACAAGUUAUUGACUUUCCAAAUAAUUUUUGGUACUGAAAGCUCCCAGUAACACUAAACACUAUCUAAAAAUAUUUCGGGAAAGUCAUGUAAACUCUUUUUCAUGUCAUCUGAAAGAAGUUCUUUUGUAACACUGCUGACACAAUUCAAAUGAGUGAAAAUAUAUAUAUUCCCUGAGGCAUUUUGGUGGUAGGAAAGGAAGUAUUUUCUAAUGAAUUAUACACUGAGCUUGAAUAGAAUUAGCUGAUCAUUUUAAAGCUUAAACCAUAUCCAUAUGGCUUUUAAAAAGACACUAGUAGCAGAAUCAACUUAGAAAAGAAGAGACAUUCAUGUCUACACAGAUUUCUAGUUAAACAGUAAUUGUUCCUUUGUCUUUUAUAAAUCACCAAAAAGAAUAAUGCUGUUAAUUAAUGGUGAAUCAUGCUCCAGUGAUCUAUUCAUAUUCUCUGGCAUGUUGCUCUGGAGGUGGUAAGCAGCAAAGUGUUGAUAACUAUAUUGACUUAGCUCGGAAAGGGAUUAAGAAUCUCAGUAUGACAACAGAUAUGUAUUCUCUUGUUAUAGAAACAUUUCACUCUUCUGUGCAACAUUUACAGUGGCUUUCUUAGUCUUUGUAUAGUAGCCAAACUCGUCUGCCUAAUCUGUAAGAGCCAUUGUCAAUUCAUGCCUAAUUCAUCUCAAUUUUCUUGCUCAGACUCAACUCUAUUUUUUUUCUUUGCACAUAUCCCCUUUGCCCCACUGAAGUUGUUCCAGUCUCUUCCAUACGUGUCCAUUCUGUCGCUUAAACGUGACUCAAAAAAUCAACUGUGAUUAUCACAUGAGAGGAGGAUGAUAGUCAGAAGUAGUAGAAAGACCUGUAAGUUUCAAUUAAUAAACUUUUAUGGUGUUUGUGGAAGACAGUGCUAAUUGCCUACUCCAAAUCUAUUCUUUCAUCCCUAAUAGCAGGAUUCCAAUUUUGUUGGAGUAGCAGUGUGUGCUUUUCUAAAAAUACUUCUCCAGGCUCCCUUGCUGUUUGAGGGUGGCCAUGUGUCACGACUGUGGACAAUGAGGCAUAAGUUACGGGUUUAUUGAAAAGCUAUUGUUUUCCUUGUAAGGGCACCUUCCUGCUUCCUUCUCCCUUCCACUUCCCACCUGGAAUGCUGAUGCAAUACCUGGAGACAGAGUGGCUUUUUGCCACCUUGAUAUGAAAAUCCUGAGGGCAAAGGUGUACACACUAAGGACAAUGGAGUGAGAAAAUAGAAAAUGGGUCCCUAAUGUUAUCAUUGAGCUGCCAUAAAUGGCCCUAUUCUACCUACCUCCCCACCCCACCUCUACCCCUGCCUAGUCUUCUUACUCUGUGAACCAAAUAAACUUCUCUCACUCUACGUUAUUUACAGGGUUUUUCUGCUCAUGUGGACAAGCCCAUUCCUAACUGAUGCCACUUUUAGAACUUUUUUGACCAUAAGAAUGCAUCACUUUUAUAGUAAUAAAAUAAUUAAGUGUUUUAAGUGAAAACAACAUGCACAAGAGCCCAAGCUUUGGAGUCAGACAAGACUAAAUUGGAAUCCAGAUCUUCCUGCAUACUAAUUAUCUGACUUUUGGCAACUUAAUAUCUCCAAGUCUCAACUUCCUCAUCUGUAAAACAGGAAUAAACAAAUAAGUAAUGAUAUUUAACAUACAAUACAGAGGAUUGUUAUAAGGUACAUAAUGAGCCCUUAAUAAAGUAUAGCUAUUAUUAUUACUACCAACUUUCCAACACACACACACACACACACACACACACUUCUCUGUGUUCCUAAUGCACUAUAUACAGAGCAUUAUGUAAGUAGAGAAUGUUAUAUACAUCAAGUAUCUCUGGAGGUCAGAAUGGUUGGUUUCUGAUCCUUCGUUACCAGUUUCUGUGACUUUGGGAAAGGUAUUAGGUCUCUUGACUUAAAAGUCCUCAUCUGAAACGUGUGGGACAAAAUCUUCAGAUCUUUUUCAGUUUUAAAAUUCUGUGAAUAUUAAAAAAACAAGGAAAUGAUUAUCAAACCUUUAAAAUAGUGGUUUUCCAGAGAGGAUAGGAAGAGAGUUAUGAUCAGAGAGAGGCAUAUGGGGUAGGGAUGAGGAUGGUGGAAAUGUUCCAUUUAUUUACUUGGUUGGUGGUUACACAGUUAUUUGCUUUAUGAUUAUUCAUUAAACUGUACUGUAUUAGGGUUCUCCGGAGGGACAGAACUAGUAGGAUAUAUGUAUAUAUGAAAGGGAGUUCAUUAGGGAGAAUAGGCUCACAGGAUCACAAGGUGAAAUCCCACAAUAGGCCGUCUGUAAGCUGAGGAAGAAAGAAGCCAGUAGUGGCUCAGUCCAAAGCAGGAAAGGUAACAGUGCAGCCUUCAGGCUGUGGCCAAAGGCUGAGAGCCCCCAGCAAACAACUGGUGUAACUCCGAGAGUCCGAAGGCGGAAGAACCUCGAGUCUCAUGUCCUAGGGCGGGAGGAAUGGAAGGAAGCAUCUAGCACGGGAGAAAGAUGAAAGCCAGGAGACUCAGCAAGCCAGCUUAUCCCACCUUCUUCCUCCUGCUUUGUUCCAGAUGCGCUGGCAGCCAAUUGCAUGGUGGCCACCCACAUGGAGGAUGGGUCUUCCUCUCCCAGUCCUCUGACUCAAAUGUCAGUCUCCUCUGGCAACACCCUCAUAGACACACCCAGAAACAAUGCUUUACCAGCUAUCUAGGCAUCCUUCAAUCAAGUUGACACCUAAUAUUAACCAUCACAUGUACCCAUAUAUUUUGUGUGCUGCUUAUAUGUAUCUUACAUUUCAGAAAAUCCUCCAAAGUUUAUAAUUAUGUUUACAGGCAUACUAACUUGCUCUACAUUAUGUUAUAAAGAUUUUUCGGCCAGGUGCGCUGGCUCACGCCUGUAAUCCCAACACUUUGGGAGGCCAAGGCCGGCGGAUCACAAGGUCAGGAGUUGAAGACAAGCCUGAUCAACAUGGUGAAACCCCGUCUCUACUAAAAAUACAAAAAUUAGCUGGGCCUGGUGGUGCUGACCUGUAACCCCAGCCACUCAGGAGGCUGAGGCAGGAGAAUCACUUGAACCCGGGAGGCAAGGUUGCAGUGAGCCAAGAUUGCGCCACUGCACUCCAGCCUGGGCGACAGAGCGAGACUCCGUCUCAAAAAAAAAAAAAAAAAAAAAAAAAGAUUUUUCCACUUGUACAAUUAGGAAUAAGAUGUGUAUAAUAAUAAUAUAAUUCACUAAUCCUCCUUAUUGACAGCAUAGCUCCUUUCACUGUUGUCUUACAUCUUUAUCUCUUAGUAGAAGAGGUUGGAGGUGGGGCAAAUAUCUCCUGAGGAAGGAGGAGGAUGUGACAUAAGUAAAGCUCCUAAAAGCCAGUAAGGGGAAGUAAAAGAUAGCCCUUCAGUCUUUUGGAGAGGGGUUUGGGGAAGGUAGGAGAUCAAAGUCUUGACUCACUUUUAAACCUGAAACCCUGGAAAGAUAGUGUGGGGAGAAAAAUACAGUAAUGGAAUCCCAAUGAAAAUCUGUUUCAUGCUUUUUAAAAAGAACUAAUAGUGUUUUUUUAGCAGUUUGCUAUAGAAAUAUUGAGUGGAAGGUACAGAGAGUUCCCACAUUCUCCCUCAUUCCUCCCACCAGUUUUCCCUGUUAUUUUGUUAUUAUUUUUAUUUUUUAGUAAAUGAUGGUUCUUUCUUUCAGUCAUUGGAUUUAUGCUGGCUGCUGUGACACAGCCACCCUGUUACCAAGCACUCUGUCCCUUAGCAGAAUCCCCUAGUUGAGAGCCAGUAUCAAACCCAGAGGUGUAAAGAGUUUGGUGGGAAUAUUCAUAUAUAUAUACUUUAAGUUCUGGGAUACAUGUGCAGAAGGUGCAGGUUUGUUACAUAGAUAAACAUGUGCCAUGGUGGUUUGCUGCACCCAUCAACCCAUCAUCUUCACUAGGUAUUUCUCCUAAUGCUAUCCCUCCCCUAGCCCCUCACCCCCCGAAAGGCCCCUGUGUGUGAUGUUGCCCUCCCUGUGUCCAUGUGUACUCAUUGUUCAACUCCCGCUUAUGAGUGAGAACAUGCGGUGUUUGGUUUUCUGUUCCUGUGUUAGUUUGCUGAGAAUAAUGGUUUCCAGCUUCAUCCAUGUCCCUGUAAAGGAGAUGAACUCAUUCUUUUUUAUGGCUGCAUAGUAUUCCAUGGUAUAUAUUUGCCACAUUUUCUUCAUCCAGUCUAACAUUGAUGGGCAUUUGGGGUGGUUCCAAGUCUUUGCUAUUGUGCAUAGUGCUGCAAUAAACAUACAUGUGCAUGUGUCUUUAUAGUAGAAUGAUUUAUAAUCCUUUGGGUAUACAGCCAGUAAUGGGAUUGCUGGGUCAAAUGGUAGUUCUGGUUCUAGAUCCUUGAGGAGUCGCCACACUGACUUCCACAAUGGUUGAACUAAUUUAGACUCCCACCAACAGUGUAAAAAUGUUCCUAUUUCUCCACAUCCUCUCCAGCAUCUGUUGUUUCCUGACUUUUUAAUGAUCCCCAUUCUAACUGGAGUGAGAUGGUAUCCCAUUGUGGUUUUGAUUUGCAUUUCUCUAAUGCCAGUGAUGAUGAGCUUUUUUUCCAUAUGUUUUUUGGCUGCAUAAAUAUCUUCUUUUGAGAAGUGUCUGUUCAUAUCCUUUGCCCACUUUUUGAUGGGGUUGUUUUUUUAUUGUAAAUUUGUUUAAGUUCCUUGUAGCUUCUGGAUAUUAGCCCUUUUUCAGAUGAAUAGAUUGCAAAAAUUUUCUCCCAUUCUGUAGGUUGCCUGUUCACUCUGAUGAUAGUUGAUUUUGCUGUGCAGAAGCUCUUUAGUUUAAUUAGAUCUCAUUUGUCAAUUUUGGCUUCUGUUGCCAUUACUUUUGGUGUUUUAGUCAUGAGGUCUUUUCCUAUGCCUGCAUCCCAAAUGGUAUUGCCUAGGUUUUCUUCUAGGGUUUUUAUGAUUUUAGGUCUUACAUUUAAAUCUUUAAUCCAUCUUGAGUUAAUUUUUGUAUAAGGUGUAAGGAAGGGGUCCAGUUUCAGUUUUCUGCAUAUGGCUAGCCAGUUUUCCCAACACCAUUUAUUAAAUAAGGAAUCAUUUCCCCAUUGCUUGUUUUUGUCGGGUUUGUCAAAGAUCAGAUGGCUGUAGAUGUGUGGCAUUAUUUCUGAGGCCUCUGUUCUGUUGCAUUAGUCUAUAUAUCUGUUUUGGUACAAGUACCAUGCUGUUUUGGUUACUGUAGGCUUGCAGUAUAGUUUGAAGUCAGGUAGUGUGAUGCCUCCAGCUUUGUUCUUUUUGCUUAGGAUUGUAUUGGCUAUAUGGACUCUUUUUUGGUUCCAUAUGAAAUUUAAAGUAGUUUUUUUGAAUUCUGUGAAGAAAGUCAAUGGUAGCUUGAUGGAGAUGGCAUUGAAUCUACCAGUAUGGCCAUUUUCACGAUAUUGAUUCUUCCUAUCCAUGAGCAUGGAGUGUUUUUCCAUUAGUUUGUGUCCUCUCUUAUUUCCUUGAGCAGUGGUUUGUAGUUCUCCUUGAAGUGGUCCUUCACAUCCCUUGUAAGUUGUAUUCCUAGGUAUUUUAUUCUCUUUGUAGCAAUUAUGAAUGAGAGUUCACUCAUGAUUUGGCUCUCUGUUUGUCUAUUAUUGGUGUAUAAUAGGAACGCUUGUGAUUUUUGCACAUUGAUUUUAUAUCCUGAGACUUCGCUGAAGUUGCUUAUCAGCUUAAGGAGAUUUUGGGUUGAAAUGAUGGGGUUUUCUAAAUACACAAUUAUGUCGUCUGCAAACAGAGACAAUUUGACUUCCUCUCUUCCUAUCUGAAUACCCUUUAUUUAUUUUCUCUUGACUGAUUGUUCCAGCCAGAACUUCCAAUACUAUGUUGAAUAGGAGUGGUGAGAGAGGGCAUCUUUUUCUUGUGCCAGUUUUCAAAGAGAAUGCUUCUAGCUUUUGCCUACACAGUAUGAUAUUGGCUGUGGGUCUGUCAUGAAUAGCUCUUAUUAUUUUGAGAUAUGUUCCAUCAAUGCCUAGUUUAUUGAGAGUUUUUAGCAUAAAGAGCUGUUGAAUUUUAUUGAAGGCCUUUUCUGCAUCUAUUGAGAUAAUCAUGUGGUUUUUAUCGUUGGUUCUGUUUCUGUGAUGGAUUAUGUUUAUUGAUUUGUGUAUGUUGAGCCAGCCUUGCAACCCAGGAAUGAAGCCGACUUGAUCAUGAUGGAUAAGCUUUUUGAUGUGCUGCUGGAUUUUGUUUGCCAGCAUUUUAUUGAGGAUUUUUGCUUCAGUGUUUAUCAGGGAUAUUGGCCCGAAAUUUUCUUUUUUGUUGUGUCUCUGCCAGGUUUUGGUAUCAGGAUGAUGCCGGCCUCAUAAAAUGAGUUAGGGAGGAUUCCCUCUAUUUCUAAUGUUUGGAAUAGUUUCAGAAGGAAUGGUACCAUUCCUUCUCCUCUCUGUACCUCUGGUAGAAUUCAGUUGUGAAGCCAUCUGGUUUUGGGCUUUUUUUGGUUGGUAGGCUAUUAAUUACUGCCUAAAUUUCAGAACUUGUUAUUGAUCUAUUCAGGGAUUCGACUUCUUCCUGGUUUAGUCUUGGGAGGGUGUAUGUGUCCAGCAAUUUAUCCAUUUCUUCAAGAUUUUCUAGUUUAUUUGUGUAGAGGUGUUUAUAGUAUUCUCUGGUGGUAGUUUGUAUUUCUGUGGGAUCAGUGGUGAUCUCCCCUUUAUCAUUUUUUAUUGCAUCUAUUUGAUUCUUCUCUCUUUUCUUCUUUAUUAGUCUGGCUAGUGGUCUAUUUUGCUAAUCUUUUCAAAAAACCAGCUCCUGGAUUCAUUGAUUUUUUGAAGGGUUUUUGGUGUCUCUACUUCCUUCAGUUCUGCUCUGAUCUUAGUUAUUUCUUGUCUUCUGCUAGCUUUUGAAUUUGUUUGAUCUUGCUUCUCUAGUUCUUUUAAUUGUGAUGUUAGAGUGUCUAUUUUAGAUCUUUCCCACUUUCUCAUGUGGGCAUUUAGUGCCAUAAAUUUCCCUCUAAACACUGCUUUAGCUGUGUCGCAGAGAUUCUGGUAUAUUGUGUCUUUGUUCUCAUUGGUUUCAAAGAACUUAUUUAUUUCUGACUUAAUUUCGUUAUGUACCCAGUAGUCAUUCAUGAGCAGGUUGUUCGGUUUCCAUGUAGUUGUGCAGUUUUGAGUGAGUUUCUUAAUCCUGAGUUCUAAUUUGAUUGCACUGUGGUCUGAGAAACUGUUUGUUAUGAUUUCCAUUCUUUUGCCUUUCCUGAGGAGUGUUUUACUUCCAAUUAUGUGGCCGAUUUUAGACUAAGUGCAAUGUAGUGCUGAGAAGAAUGUACAUUCUGUUGAUUUGGAGUGGAGAGUUCUGUAGCUGUCUAUUAGGGCCACUUGGUCCAGAGCUGAGUUCAAAUCCUGCAUAUCCUUGUUAAUUUUCUGUCUUGUUGAUCUGUCUAAUAUUGACAGUGGGGUAUUGAAGUCUCCCACUAUUAUUUUGUGGGUGUCUAAGUCUCUUUGUAGGUCCCUAAGAAUGUGGUUUAUGAAUCUGGAUGCUCCUGUAUUGGUGCAUAUAUAUUUAGGAGAGUUAGCUCUUCUUUUUGCAUUGAUCCCUUUACCAUUAUGUAAUACCCUUCUUUGUCUUUUUUAAUCUUUGUUGGUUUAAAGUCUCUUUUAUCAGAGACUAGGAUUGCAACCCUGCUCUUUUUUUCCUUUCCAUUUGCUUGGUAAAUAUUCUUCCAUCCCUUUAUUUUGAGCCUAUGUGUGCCUUUGCACAUGAGAUGUGUCUCCUGAAUACAACACACCUAUGGGUGUUGACUCUUUAUCCAAUUUUCCAGUCUGUGUCUUUUAAUUGUGAGAUUUAGCCCAUUUACAUUUAAGGGUAAUAUUGUUAUGUGUGAAUCUGAUCCUGUCAUUAGGAUGCUAGCUGGUUAUUUUGCCCAUUAGUUGAUGCAGUGUCUUCAUAGUGUUGAUGUUCUUUACAUUUUGGUUUGUUUUUUCAGUGGCUAGUACUGGUUUUUCCGUUCCAUAUUUAGUGCUUCCUUCUGGAUCUCUUGUAAGGCAGGCCUGGUGGUGACAAAAUUCCUUAGCAUUUGCUCGUCUGUAAAGGAUUUUAUUUAUCUUUUGCUUACAAAGCUUAGUUUGGCUGGAUAUGAAAUUCCGGGUUGAAAAUUCUUUUCUUUAAGAAUGUUGAAUAUUGUCCCCCACUCUCUUCUGGCUUGUAGGGUUUCUGUAGAGAGAUCUGCUGUUAGUCUGAUUGGCUUCCCUUUGUAGGUAACCUGCCCUUUGUCUCUGGCUGCCCUUAACAAUUUUUCCUUCAUUUCAACCUUGGUGAAUCUGACGAUUAUGUGUCUUGGGGUUGCUCUUCUUGACGAGUAUCUUUGUGCUAUUCUCUUUUUUUCCUGAAUUUGAAUGUUGGCCUGUCUUGCUAGGUUGGGGAAUGUUGUCCUGUCUUGCUAGGUUGGGGAAUUUCUCCUGGAUAAUAUCUUGAAGAGUGUUUCCCAACUGGGUUUCAUUUUCCCUGUCACUUUCAGGUACACCAAUCAAACGCAGGUUUGGUCUUUUCACAUAGUCCCAUAUUUCUUGGAGGCUUUGUUCAUUCCUUUUCACUCUUUUUUCUCAAAUCUUGUCUUCAUGCUUUAUUUCAUUAAGCUGACCUUCGGUCUCUGAUAUCCUUUCUUCCCCUUGGUCGAUUCGGCUAUUGAUACUUGUCUAUGCUUCACAAAGUUCUUGUGCUGUUUUUCAGCUCCAUCAGGUCAUUUAUAUUCUUUUCUAAACUGGUUAUUCUAGUUAGCAAUUCCUCUAACCUUUUUUCAAAGUUCUUAGCUUCCUUGCAUUGGGUUAGAACAUGCUCCUUUAGCUUGGAGCAGUUUGUUAUUACCCACCUUCUGAAGCCUACUUCUGUCAAUUCAUCAGACUCAUUCUCCAUACUGUUCUGUUCCCUUGCUGGCGAGGAGUUGUGACCCUUUCUAGGAGAAGAGGUGUUUUGGUUUUUGGAAUUUUCAGGCUUUUUGUGCUGGUUUUUCCUCAUCUUUGUAAGUUUAUCUACCUUUGGUCUUUGAUGCUAGUGACCUUCCAAUGGGGUUUUUGUGUGGAUGUCCUUUUUGUUGAUAUCGAUGCUAUUUCUUUCUGUUAGUUUUCCUUCCAAUAGUCAGGCCCCUCUUCUGCAUGUCUGCUGGAGUUUGCUGUAGGUCCACUCCCGGCCCUGUUUGCCUGGGUAUCACCAGCAGAGGCUGCCGAAUAGAAAAGAUUGCUGCCUGUUCCUUCCUCUGGAAGUUUUGUUUCAGAGAUGCACCCGCCAGAUGCCAGCCAGGGCUCUCCUGUAUGAGGUGUCUGUAGACCCCUGCUGGGAGGUGUCUCCCAGUCAGGAGGCAUGGGGGUCAGGGAACCACUUCAGGAGGCAGUCUGUCCCUUAGUAGAGCUUGAGCGCUGUGCUGGGAAAUCUGCUGCUGUCUUCAGAGCCAGCAGGCAGGAAUGUUUAAGUCUGCUGAAGGUACUCCCACAGCCGCCCCUUCCCCCACAUGCUCUGUCCCAGGGAGAUGGGAGUUUGAACUAUAAGCCCCUGACUGGGGCUACUGCAAUUCUUUCAGAGAUGCCCUGCCCAGAGAGGAGGAAUCUAGAGAGGCAGUCUGGCUACAGCAGCUUUGCGGAGCUGUGGUGGGCUCUGCCCAGUCCAAACUUCCAAAUGGUUUUGUUUACCCUAUGAGGGGAAGACCGCCUACUCAAGCCUCAGUACUGGCGGACUCCCAUCCCCACACCAAGCUCGAGUGUCCCCGGUUGACUUCAGACUGCUGUGCUGGCAGCGAGAAUUUCAAGCCAGUGGAUCUUACCUUGAAGAGCUCCAUGGGGGUGGGAUCGGAUCACUUGGCUCCCUGGCUUCAGCCCCCUUUCCAGGGGAGUGAAUGGGUCUGUCUUGCUGGCAUUCUAGGCACCACUGUGGUAUGAAGAAAAACUCCUGCAGCUUGCUCAGUGUCUGCCCAAAUGGCCGCCCGGUUCUGUGCUUGAAACCCAGGGCCCUGGUGGUGUAGCCACCGAAGGAAUCUCCUGGUCUGUUGGUUGUGAAGACCAUGGGAAAAGCAUAGUAUCUGGGCCAGAAGACACUGUUCCUCAUGGCACAGUCUUUCACAGGUUCCCUUAGCUAGGGGAGGGAGUUCUGCAACCCCUUGUGCUUCCUGGGUGAGGCGACACCCCACCCUGCUUCAGCUCGCCCUCCGUGGGCUGUACCCACUGUCUAACCAGCCCCAAUGGGAUGAGCCGGGUACCUCAGCCAGAAAUGCAGAAAUCACCUGCCUUCUGCAUUGAUCUCGCUGGGAGGUGAAGACCGGAGCUGUUCCUAAUUGGCUGUGUUGCCCAGGAAUCCAGCUUUCCCUAUUAUUAAUAUUGUGCAUUAGUGUGGCACAUUUGUUAUAAUUGAUGUGCCAAUAUUGAUACAGUAUUAUUAACUAAAGCCAUAGGUUACAUUAAGGGUCAUUCUUUGUUUUGUACAUUCUAUGGAUUUUGACAAGUGUUUUGUAACAUGUAUCCAUAAUUACAUUAUCAUACAGAGUACAGUCAAGUGUCAAUACUUUCUGAGAAAUGCAUCGUUUGGAGAUUUCCAAGUUGUGUGAACAUCAUAGAGAGUACUUUACACAAACCCAGUUGAUAUAACCUACUACACAGCUGGUAUAUGAUAUAGUCUAUUGCUCCUAGGCUAUAAACCUGUACAGCAGGUUACUGUACUGAAUACCAUAGGCAAUUACAACACAGGGUAAGUAUUUCUGUUUCUAAACAUAUCUAAACAUAGAAAAGGUACAGCAAAAAUAUGGCAUAAAAGGUAAAAAUGGUGCACCUGAAUAAGGCACACACCAUGAAUAGAAUGUGCAGAACUGGAAGUUGCUCUGGGUGAGUCAGUGAGAGAGUAUAAGUGAAUAUGGAAGUCUAGGAUAUUACUGUACACUACUGUAUACUUUAUCAACCCUGUACACUUAGGCUACAUUAAAUUUAUUUAAUUUUUUCUUCAAUAAUAAAUUAAUCUUAGCUUACUGUGAUUCUUUUACUUUAUAAACCUUUUGGUUGGGUGCAGUAACUCGUACCUAUAAUUCCAGCACUUUGGGAGGCUGAACCAAGAGGAUCACUUGAGCCCAGGAGUUUGAGACCAGCCUGGGCAACAUGGUGAGACCUGGUCUCACCUAGUCUCUACAAAAAAUACAAAAAUUAGCCACGUGUGGUGGCAGGCACCUGUAAUCCCACCUACUCGGGAGGCUGAGGCAGGAAGAUCACUUGAGCCUGGGAAGGUCGAGGGUGCAGAGAGCCAUGAUCACGCCACUGCACUCCAGCCUGGGUUACAGAGUGAGACCCUGUCUCACAAAACCACACAAAACAAAACCCUUACAAAACAAAACCCUUUUAAUUUUUAAAAAACUUUUUGGCUCUUUUGUAAUAACACUUAGCUUAAAACACACAUACAUUGUACAGCCAUACAAAAAUCUUUAUAUUCUUAUUCUAUAAGCUUUUUUCUACUUUUGUAAUUUUUAAUUAUUUUAACUUUUUAAACAUUUUUGUAAAAAAUAAAAAUAAAACACAAACACAAACAUUACUCUAGGCCUACACAGGGUCAGGAUCACUAAUAUCACUGUCCUCCACCUCCAUAGCUUGUCCCACUGGAAGAUCUUUGGAGGAAAUAACACACAUGAACCUAUCAUCUUCUAUAAUAACAAUGCCUUUUUCUGGGAUAUCGCCUAAAGAACCUGCCUGAGGCCAUUUUACAGUUAACUUUUAAAAAAUAUGUAAAUAGGAGUACACUCUAAAAAAGCCAUAAAAAGUAGAGUAUCAUAAAUACAUAAAUCAGUAAUAUAAUAAUUUAUUAUCAUUAUUGUGUAUUUUGUACUAUACAUAAUUGUAUGUGCUAUACCAUUACACAACUGGCAGUGUAGUAGGUGUGUUUACACCAGCAUCACUGCAAACACAUCACUACAAACAUGUGAGUCAUGUGUUGUGCCACGACAUUCGGAUGGCUGUGAUGUCACUAGGCAAUAGAAAUUUUUCAGCUCUGUUAUAAUAUUAUGGGACCACUUUGGUGCUAUAUGUGGUCUGUCAUUGAUGAAAACAUUAUGCAGUGUAUGAUUGUUCCACUGUUAUAAACAAACCCCUGCGUUCGUUUUCCCAAAACCUGCCAACCACUGAUCUUUUCACUGUCUCCAUAGUUUUUUCCUUUUCCAGAAUGUCAUAUAGUUGUCAUAUAGUUGUAGCAUGUAACCUUCUCGGGUUGUCUUCGUUCACUUAGCAAUAUGCAUUUAAGCUUUCUUUAUGUUUUUUUCAUGGCUCAAUAGCUCAUUUCUUUUUAAUGAUGAAUAAUAUUUCAUUGUAUGGAUGUACUACAGUUUGUUUAUUUACCUAUUAAAAGACAUCUUGAUUGCUUCCAGAUUUUGGUAAUUGCUAUAACUUUUGUGUUCGAAUUUUAUGUUGACAGCAGUUUUCAACUGGUUAGGGUAAAUAUGCCUUUUUCAAGAGACACAGCAUGUGACAUGAAGUGCUUUCCCUAAGCCUUCCUGGCAGUUAGAAAUGGCGCAGUAGCAUCAUAAGUUUGCUUCACAUUUGCACUGGAGCCGAUGUUAGAUUUGCAGGGUUUUCUAAAUGUACAGUAGUACUUAAGAACCCACAUAAGGGCCGGGCACGGUGGCUCACGCCUGUAAUCCCAGCACUUUGGGAGGCUGAGGCAGGUGGAUUACGAGGUCAGGAGUUCAAGACCAGCCUGGCCAAGAUGGUGAAACCCAUCCCUACUAAAAAUACAAAAAUUAGCCAGGUGCAGUGGCGGGUGCCUAUAAUCCCAGCUACUUGGGAGGCUGAGGCAGGAGAAUCGUUUGAACCCAGGCGACAAAGGUUGCAGUGAGCCAAGAUCGCACCACUGCAUUCCAGCCUGGGUGGCAGAGUGAGACCCUGUCUCAAAAAACAAAAACAAAAAAAGAACCCACAUAAGUAGUGGGCUCAAGGACCAGCUCACUGGUACCUGUAGCUCUCAUCCCUCCUUAUCCAAGAAGUUUCCAGUGGGACAAAGGGGAUGUAGUUUCCAUGCAGAAACUUCAGAGAGAGUCACCCAUUAGGGAUAAGGGAAUGCAAAGGUAGCACCUCUAAAGGUCUCUGACACCAGGAGGCUCUGGUAGUAUGAGCCCAGCAGUUAUCUGAUGACCAUGAAAUGUGCUCAUGAUGCAGCCAGUUGCUGAACACCAUCAUUGACAGGAACCAGAUUGAGUGAAGACAAAAGCAGUCAGAGCCAAUGAAGAGCAGAUCCCAGACUUUAAGAGGAGAUGACAGCCCAGGCGUAGUCGCUCACACCUGUAAUCCUAGCACUUUGGGAGGCCGAGGUGGGGGGGGAUCACCUGAGGUCAGGAGUUCGAGACCAGCCAGGCCAACAUGGCAAAACCUCGUCUCUACUAAAACUACAAAAAUUAACUGGGCGUGGUGGCACACAACUGUAGUCCCAGCUACUCGGGAGGCUGAGGCAGGAGAAUCGCUUGAACCUGGGAGGCAGAGGUUGCAGUGAGCCACGAUCGCACCACUGCACUCCAACCUGGGCAACAGAGCAAGACUCCAUCUCAAAAAAAAAAAAAAAGGAGAUGCCAGUCUGGGACCUUGUUGUCAAAUCAGACAAACGUCCUCACAGAAAUCAAUCAGACAUCUUGAAAGACAAGGCAGGCAAAAUAUCCACGUGGGCUCCUGAAGCCCUGUCUCGCCCUCACAAGGACACAAUUCCUUCCUUUUUCAAUGUAGACUUUAUCUCUGGAAAUAGGAAAAGAGGAGGGAAACAGACCUGAUGACAGGAAUUUGAAAUUUAGCUUAAAUGGAUACACACCUGAAAUGGUCUAAGAUACUUUUAAACGGCAUGCUUAGGUACCUCCCUUCCAGCCCUUUGUAUCUGCCUAUAGUUGGAAAUGGGGACCCAUACCGGAAAGGAAGUUUAGAUCAUUGAAGAAGGAAGAGGAGUGGGGGGAGAGAGGAAAAGGAUGAGGAAUUUUUUUCUUUUUUUUUUUUUUGCCAAUCUAAGAGAAUUUGUUAUAUUUUUGCUCCACAAUAUGGGUUAUAUUAUACAACAUAUUUUAUAUAAAAAUGUCCUGUGGAAUAGUAAGAUGGGAAGCACUGCUUGAAGGACAGAAGCCAGGGACUUCUCACCUGGAAAGCAACGUACUCCUGCAAUUAAGGGUUGGGAACGGUCAGUGUGUGUUUGAAUCGCAGCAUCCUCACUUAUUUUAAACAAAGUAAUUAACCUGACUGAGCAUUUGAUUUCUUAGCUAUAAAACAAAGAUACUACUAAUAUCUACUUAAUGGACUGCUUUGAUAUUAAAUAAGAGAUGCAUGUAAAUCUUCCAGCACAGCGCUUAAUAACAAGAAUUAUUAAGCUCUAAACUUUAUGCCAAGUAACUUUGUAUAAGUCACAUGGGCUAUUUGACUCUAAAUUUUCACAUAUGCAAUAAGAAGAAUUACUGCUUCUUUUACAGGGUAGUUGUAAGGAUUGAAUGAGAUAACUAAAUAAUGGGUGAGUGCAUAGUACAUACUGAGGUCAUAUUAACUUUCCCGUCUCAUCUCUUAAUAACAUCUAGAAUAGUGCAGUGCUUAUAAUACUACUUAUAACUCUUAAGGAUCUAUUGAGAAACUACUUACUUCUAUUUCUGUAGUUGCUGGUCUCUUUAUUGAAUUCUAUACCUGAGGAGACUCAAUUAAUGACACCAGGGUUGAGUCUUGUCAGCUUUAGGAAGGAAGUACAUGUGUAUUUUGUAUGCCUUUAUUUCUUUCAGCAUAUUUUUUCAUCCUCCCUCACUCACACCUCCCUUCACUUUUCAGAGUUCCCAUUUCAGCCCCACCCAGGCCUACAUACCCUGUAUGUGCUGGGUCACCAUAACUCUUCUACUGUCAAAUCUUUUGCUUUGAGGGCAUUCUCCUCUGCUGACCAAUGGAUGGUUAGUAACCUGAAAAAUGGAUCCCUCUUGGGUUCUUAAUGGCCGAUAAUGGGUUAAUUCACAUGUCAUUAUUUCAUUCCAGGUGUUACAAUUUAACAGGAUACUCUGGUAGCUUGUGUGCUUUAACCCAUAGGAAUAAUUUCUUUUAUAGUCCCAUUACCAUUCUUGAGUGCUAAUAAUGAAAUAUUUUUAGAUUAGACGAUCACUUGAGGCCCCUCAUAUCACACUCAGAGCUGUCUACUCUACUAACACUUAGUAAACCCUGAUCAGGACACCGUAUAAACACUGGUAUCCUAGAGACUUGGAAAUGUUAACUUAUCUCCGUUACAUUGUGCCCAGGGAGUGGCGUGAGCGCUUGCAAGCAUAAGGCCAAACAAACAAAGUUCAUUAAAUGAACAUAAUUUUUCCAACCCAUAGAUAAAAUUCUGCCCUCAAAUUCUUACUGGAGCUCUACGUUUAAUAUUGGAAACCUAAGAAUAUUAUAAAAUUCCUCUUUAAAGUAGACAUUUCACAAAGGAAGUAAGGACAAUAUUUUGUGUUCGCUGGCAAUAUACUCUAUUCUUAUUUAAGUCAACAUUGCCCAGUGGUUGCACCUGAAUUUGGGAUAUUAAAAUACAGUCUCUACUCAGGAGGCUGAGGCAUGAAAAUCACUGAAACCCAGGAGGUAAAGGUUGCAGUGAGCUGAGAUCAUGCCACUGCACUCCCACCUGGGCGACAAAGUGAGAUCCUGUCUCAAAUAAAUAAAUUAAAUCUCAAAUCUGUGGUGUUAUUACAGGGUUUUAAUGUUUAUAAUCUUCGUUCUUUCCAUGAAAUGUAAGUGUUAUUACCAUUUCUUCUCACCUAUUCUUUACAAAACUACUCUGGCUUCUUUACACAGAAAAAAAGAAAACAGCUCCUGUUGCCUUUUGCCUCUCAUCCAGAAAGGUAUCCAUUUGCCUUUCUAAUAUCUCUUCAUCCUGUCAGGCCACAAAUGGAGACGACUCACCUGUAUUGUACCUCUCCAAGUUCUGGAAAGUCGAUGGAGGGUUUACUCAGAACUUCAAUCUAUCCAGAACUGAGUUUUGUUUAUGGUGUGUGCCAGUUUUAAACAAGAAAAACCUCAGCAUGUAAGCAAAGCAGACUGGACUUGAACAGAUAUGGAAUGCAAAGCACACAGGAGAGUCAUGGGGAUCCUGAAGGGGGAUUAGAAGUUGGACAACUUUUUAUGCAAUGAACAACACUGCAUUGGAGGCAGUGGAUUAAACAGUAGUGCAUAUCACUUGGCUGAAGUGACAGGAAUAAAGAACAGAAUGCAUCCACUCCUCCAGUCUCAUUAAGCUGCCUCUUUCUCCUGAAAUUGGAUUGGGAUUCCAGGACACCUCUCAACCUACAGGAAACACUGGAUCUAAAGCUGAAACAGGCUUUUAAAAAGAUUUGCACAAUACAUCCUUCAUAUUGUUAUUUUUAUCUCUGUAAGUUUGUAAUGGCCUCUAAAAAAGAAAGCUGUGUAACAAGAGCAUCAGAUGUUACUUUGCUCACUGUUGAAGGCGGUGAAGAACAGAAGAAAACUAGGAAGAAAACCAAGCUGGGAAGGGCAAUGAAGGAACAGGUUAGAGUUCAAAAGUAAAAGUACGUUCCACACAAAGGAAAGAUUUCAGGUACGUGAGUCAGCGGCAAUGCAAGGGCAAGAGAUGUGCUUUUAGAGAGAAUUGAACUUGUCAAUGUGACUCAGCUCUGGAAGACCAAAAAAUUAUGGAGGGAGAGGCAGGAGAGGGAAACCAGGUGAAAUGUCACCAUUUUCUUUGUUUAUCUUCUGGUGGAUCUCAAAAUCUUCUGUUAUUCACAUACACACACGAGCAUGCACUCAUGGAAUGCGUCAGUAUAUCUAUUGUCAAAAUCAGCUCACAGUCUCAUUUCAGUAAAACAGAAAUGUGAUCCCUCACAAGAUGUUGUGUUGCUGAUUAACUGCCUUCUUCUAGGAGAUGAGCUACAGUGUCAUUUUCAGUCCUAGAGAUCAUAAGAAAAAGAAGAAAGGCUCUUGGGGAUCUGAAAUGAAUUAGAUUUGAUUUUACAGUUACUGUAAAACUCCAGAAAAUUUACAUUUGUUUUACUUACACCAUAUAUUUUUUCCAAAAGUUAAUCUCUAUGGACUGCAGACAAACAUGUUAAGUUAAAAUAACAAAUAACUCUUCUAGAGUAGAAAAUGGGUAAAUUUUAGACACAGACAUGUGCACUAAGAUGUCUGCACAAUGAUUAAAGUUUAGUUGUGAAUUUGCCUUUGAGAUUCCCAUUGGCCAAAGUGAAGAGAAAAGCAUGAUCAGAAUCAAGACUCAAAGUGCCUAGAAGGAAGCAUUUGUCAGGUACGCUGGAAAAAAACAAUAUUUCCAAGAAUUGAGAUGGAAGAAAUUUCUCCAAGGAGAGGAUAUUUUAAUAUAAUAGACAAUGGCCUCAACAAUAUCCCUGCAAUAUGAAACAGUAGGUUUCACAUAGCCACUUUUAAAUAUUUUUCAUCAAGUGAAGUGAAGGGCAUAAUGCUGGCACACAACUGAGAAACAGCUAUUAAAUGAGGGGGAAAAGUUCUGAAGACCAAAUAUUCUGCUCUUGGAUUACCUUGGUGAUCAGAAAGUGACUCUAUGUGGACAGGACUAUGUAGCUAGCAUACCUGUUUUAGAGAACACUUGUGCCCCAUCCCAUUGCAUGGCAAAAUCAAGAGAUUUGAUGAGGCUGUACCCUAUAACCAUUUCAGAUCCUCAACUUUAUGACAAAGAAACAUCACCUCAUCCUCAUUCACUCAGAUGAAAAAAGAUCUUGGUGAUAGUAAAAAUGAUAUAUCUGAGGAACCAUUAUAAAAAUUACAUUGCACAGGCUUAUGUGAAAUAUGCAAAAGCUUUGAAAAAUAAGUGCCUAGAAUAAUCCCCCAUAAAACUUUUAGAUAGAUUAUUAUGACCCUAUUCUUCUGGUACAAACAUAAAUGUGUUUCUGAUAAAUGUAUUUUAUUAUGUUUUGCUUCAUAUGAACACCCUAUUAUAAAUUCAGGAUGGUUAAAAGCAAACUUUAAGACCUCUCUCUUCCUCUGGCAGUCAGGACAAGGUUUUUUAAACCAAAAACAUAUGUUUAAAUUUAGCUCCACAUGUGCCAGCUAGCUAUUGACUGAACACUGACAUGUGUUUGAGCUCUAGGGAUCUCAAAUCUCUCUCUGCUUCUCUCCUCAGUUCUCUUACACCACACAUCUCUCUCUCUCUUUCUCUCUCACACACACGCACUCUCUCACACAUACACACACGCACUCUCUCUCUCUCUCACACACACACACACAUGCAUACACACACACCACAUAUUGGGAAUUCAGAAAUUUAGCAGGUAAUAGACCUAGUAUUCAGAGCAAACACUGUCCCUGAUGAAAAAAACAGUAUGGAACGAUUCUUGGCAAAUUCUGAAUACCCCUUGAGCUUGUCUUGUUCAUUAGCAAAUUGUUUUCCUGUAACUGUUUCUCAGUUAUGUACAUGACAUACCAAAAAUAGUGAUUUUCUCAAUCAGUUGCUUCCUAGGUAAGUAAACAUUCCACUGGUGGAGUACUGUUAGCAAAUUACAGUGGAAAUACAGCUUCGAAAACAGUCUAGUUUUGUUUCUCUUGGUUACUAAAUCCUGGGUCAGGUGGCCUUGGUAAGGUGCUUUGCAGGCCGCAAUGACGGGGAGCAAUUUGACCCAGGGCCCCAGGUGGGACCUUCUAAAAUUCAACCCCACACCUGUGAGUUGUGCCUGGCCAUGCUUCCCAGGAUGAUUCCAGCCAUUGGCUUCAUGGGGCAGGCAUACUGAGGCAGGCUCAUUCCUGGAGACACAGGACUCCCUGGCAGCCUUGCUACCUCAGAUGCUUCUACUCAACCUGUCCUUUUUCUUUCCCCUAUACUCAGUGCCAGACUUGCAUACGGUCUCCCAUUUUCUCUCACACAGACGGUUCUGCCAAUAAAACCGUUGCUUGUUUACCUCUGUCCUAGCAGCUAUGUCCUGAAGGACCAAGACUGACAUAAUACACUCUGUUUAGUUUUAAAGGUAAAUUGUUUACCUACACUUAAGGAAGUACAUCUCCACACACUCAAAGAAUGUGGCUCUAAAUUAGUCUCCUGCUGAAAAUGCCUAACAUUGCCACUCAGAUUUGGACUCUAGAUUGUGACAGAUUAAAAUUCCUUAUAAAUGACUUUUUUUCAAAAUAAAUUCCUAAUUCAUUCUCUUCUCCAAGAAGCCACAGUGCUUCCUCUAAUCCUAAAGUCAUCAGUAGACAAUCCAUCCUUCCCAAUAAUGCUGAGAUUUUGUUUUCUAGAACCCUGCACUCAGAUAAAUUAUACCUAUAAAUUGUACCAAUUAGAAUACAUUUUGUGGCCUAAACCUCAACCUUUCAUUUGAUUGGCAAUACUGGCAAUAUAUAGCCUUAUCUUGUCACCUAAGUGAGAGAUCCAUUCUGAACUAAUGUGGACAUGUCAGUAUAAGUUGAAGACCACUCAAGGAAAUGCAGCCUUUUUGGGUUCUCUGAAGUAAGUAGUAGCCAAACUCUUUUCUCUCUCCUAAUUAGGAACCACCUAAAAACAGACAACUGAGUCAGAUAGAGGCCAAAAGAUCAGCUUUUACAUAUUCACUAGACCUUGCAUCUAGGCCAUGGGUAACUAUUUGCCCAUCCAACCCAAAGUAGUGCAAACAGAAGACCUCUGGCCUAGAGCUCUAGGCCAGAGCAUGGCAGAGAAUGGUUUAUGCAUGGAGAGAAUGCUGUAUGUGGCCAAUGGGCAAAUUCCAGAGAAAAGGGCAAGUACCAUCUGAGAACAGACCGGCUUAAAAACAAAAGCACAGAAGAGGUUUCGUUUGUUCUUGACCUCACAACUGAGAUGUUAGUAUUCCUUUAUUGGGAAGCGAGAGAGAGAGACAGAACGAUGCUUCUUAAUUCUUUUAAAACCACAGCAAUUUUAUUUUGUGGGCCAUGGUGAAAAGUCAGAGAGAGGCAAAUAGCUUGUGCUACAAAACCCCAAGCCCUGAUCUGCCCAUGGGGAAGUCAGUGGCAUUAACCUUUCAUGUAAAGGACAGAACGUCACCAGGCCACCUUAGCCAUGGGGACAGUCAGGAUAGUCAUUGCACAGAAAACAAAGUGAACUCUUCUUUCCUUCAUUUUAUUACUAUUCACAUGUUUCAGAACAAUUCAUUCAAGAUUCACAUAAAGUUAGCUAUGGGCUUUUCUAAAUAGAGCUCUUACAUCUUAAAAAUAAAUCCAAGGCUUUUAAAACUCUGUAAUUAUCUUGUCUAUUAUCUCAUCUGCUGCUUCAUCUUUCAUUCCCUCCCUUGAUCUUUUUUAUCUGUAUGGGGGGUUGCCAUUUUUGCAUAGCUUUUAAAGCAAAUUCUGGAUAUUUUCAGAGAUGGGGGGAGGGGUAGGAGAAUAGAUAUGUCACAAUUCAUGCUACUUACUCAUUUUUCUGGAAAUUAACUCCUCAAGCACCUGAUGAGUUAUAGGCAUCUGGGCAUUAGAUUUUGAAUAAGAAUUUUAAUUUUAUUAUUUCAUCGCUGUGAUCACACUUAACAAUGAAAAUUCUUACAGUUUCCUGAACUAUGGUAUUUAUGCCUUCACUUAAAUAACAUUUUAAAACUGCAUAUUUUCAGGGACUCCAUUCUUAAUGAUUUUUAUAACUAACUUAGAGUUUAGUGACCUCUGCAAAGUAAAUGUACUUUUCUGAUGGGGGAAAACGUAUAGAAAAAAUGUGGUAUGUCUCUGAAAGGAAAUCCUUUUUGGCUAAAAUAUUACUUAAGUAGAUGUAAAUUUAUGCGUAGUUUUCUGAUUUAAAAAGUAUUAUAUGCUCAUGCAAAAUUUAGAAAUUACAAAAAAUAUAAGAGAACAAAAAAAUAUAGUAGAAUAAGAAUAGUUUUUAAAAUUAUCAUUUGAUCCAAGCGUUAUUAAUAUUUUGGUAUCUUUCUAGUAUUUUACACCCUCCACACACAUACAACAUUUAUAAAUUUUGAGUCAUACUAAACAGUUUUAUAUUCUUUUUUUCUCAACGUUAUAUUGUGAGCAUUUUUCUAUGUCAUUAUGUAGACAUUAAAAUAUGUUUUUAAUGACAGCAUAUAUAAGAAUGAGUCAAGUGUUUUACUAAACCACUCUUAGAUAUAUAACGUUUGUUAUUCCAAAAAUUUUGCCAUUAUAAAUGAUACUGUUAUAAACAUUUUUAUGCAAAGUGUUUUUUUUUUACCAUAUUGCUUAUUAGUGUCAUAGGAAAUAAAAUUACUGUGUUAAAAGGAAUAAAUAUUUUAAAAGCAAAGAUCACAUGACCAAUUAUUAACUUACUUUGGGGGACAGUCACACAAAGACACUUCCUUUCUGGUUUCAGAAUAAUUGGGAAGCCAAAUUAAUAGCCAGAAGGUUCCUGAGGGGAAUGUAGAAUCAGGGCGGAGGUGGCAGGCAGUCUUGAAGGAUCUUUCAUCCUAGUCAUGGUGAGGCCUGAUAGCUAUGACUUCUUCAGUUAAACUGAUGUCUUUGUACUAAAAUAUUUUGUCAUCAUCAACCUUAUUUAUAUUGCAAUCUAGAUAGCUGUUGACUUGCAAUAUUUACCAUAUUAUGAAGCACUUCAAAGCUCUGGAUGUGCCCAGAUGACUCUGCACAAUCCGCAAAGACCUUCAUUUGUCCCAGCUUCAGUGACAGCAAAAGGGUCACUGCUUGGCCCUGGGCUUUCAGGAAGAGAGCACACUCCUGUAAACCACUAAGAGAGAUGGUCUAGAGCAAGGCACACGGGAGAAUUAAGUGUUCAUUUGGGAGAACUCAGCAUCUAGCCCUCAGGGAAACAGGUUCCCAUAUCAAAAAUUGAAGAUGAGAAGGAGAUAUUGAUUGCUUAGAUGUAGUUAUGAUAGCUAUUUCUAUUGGUUUAAGAUAGUUAUUUUUAUUUUUCCACAUGUGACAUACAUAAAUGAUUUAAUAUAUGCUCUUGACUAUUCUUCUUAUGACAGUUUCAGUAUGUUUUCAUCUCUCUUGGGAGUUGGGGGAGUAGAUGUGUAUUUCUCACUCUAUCUCCGACUCCAACCCUCACCUAAAGGUAGAUUUAGAAUCAGAUGUGAAACCCAAUUCAGAUUUAUAUGGAGAUUGAACAAGAAACUAGCAGGGAAGAGAGUCUAGAGCUGUUGAGAUAUGAGACCUUCACUAUUGUCUUUACAGUCACAUGGAUAUGUUUGCCUGUCUAAAACGGACACAAGAAAGUCAGGCACCCUGAUGUGCAGCUCUUUGGAGGCUAAAUUAGAUUAAUUGGCUCCCUCAAUCAUUGCCUUCUGGGAGUUUACAGGCUGUGGGAGUAUCACUCAACUAGACAGAUCUAAAAAAUGAAGACAAUGAAACAAAAUAGUCCACAAAUUCCGAAGGGAGCAGAUACUUGAUGAAGUGAGGACUGUUCAAAAUUCACUCAGUUGAAAACUGGGUGACUCAUUCCUUCAGAAAAUGUUGGUUAAGCAUCUAAUAUAUAGUCAUAGUAAAUUAGAUACUCUGAAUAUUGGGAUUAAUAACACAGAUAGGACCCCUUGUUCUAUUCCUUGUUCUUACAUUAUGAUGGGGAGGAUAGAAAAUAGGCAUAUAAAAAGGCAGUACAAUUUGGAGGAAUCAUCAGUGCUAGAAGGAAAAAUGAAGCCUUGUGAGUGAGUUGAGAGUGAUGGGGGUGCUAUAAUAGCUGGGGAGUCAGAACUGAAGGAAGUGAGAGAGCAAAGCCAUUAGGGGGCCCAGAGAAGAGUUUUUCAGGUGGAGGGGACCUCAAUGUCAGAGGUUCCGAGACAGGAAGAAGCUUGGUGUGUUUGAGUUGCAGCACAAAGGCCAUUUGCAUGGACAGAGCAGAGAGAGCAAGGAGAGAAUGAUUAAAAAUGAGAUGAAAGACACAGAGGAAACCAGGGCCUUCUAAGCAAUGGGAGGAAGUCUAGAUUUUAUUCUCAUUGCUCUAUGGGAUGUCUCUGGAGGGCAUGAUCUGAAGAGCAACAUAACCUGAUACACAAUUGGCAAGUAUUACUCUGGCUGCUCUGUAGAGGAGCAGGAAUAGACACAGGAAGACUAUUGGUAGUCCUAGUAAGGAUGGAGAGUGACCGGGACUGUGGGGAUGCGAGGAGAGAUGGAGAAUACUCAGGUGGAUGAUAGGUUUUGAGGCAGUCAAUUAAAGAUUAAUUGACUUAAGAUUGGAUAUGGGUUGUGAAGAAAAGUGAGAACUAACAGGAUGACACAGUAUUUGACCUGGCGGCUGAGAAUGGGAGCACUAGGGAAGAAAAGGUAAAGGAUGGAGGGAAAAUAAAAGUUCUGUUUUGGACAUGUUAAAGUUUAGAUCCCUGUUAGACAUACAAGUGGAACUCUCCAAUAGGCAGAAAAGGUACGUCUGGAGUUUAGAGAAGAGGUCAUAGAGAAGGCACAAAUUCAUGAGUUCUUAGAAUACAGAUGGUGCCCAAAGCCAUAGGACUGGAUGCGAUAACUUACAGAGAGAGUGUGGGUAGUCAAGAGAGGAGAGGAGAGGAGAGAAGAGAGCUGAGUUGGAAGCCUGGCAGUAUGUCAACAUUUAAAGGUCCACAAGAAGCACUUCAGGGAGAUUAAGAAAGAGAAGUCCAGAGAAGUGACAGUCAGAUUUGCAAGAUGGAGGUCAUUGGUUGGAUGGUUUUUUAUCCAUGUAAUUUAUACUCCAACCCAUGGUUUUUUAAGAGUGACAGAAAAGUUAUUAAUAAUUUUGCCAAGACAAUAGGUGUAAGCUGGGACUGUCCUGGGCAAACAAGAACAUAUGGUCACCCUAGGCUUUGGUGACCCUGUUAAGACUGGUUUCAGCAGAGCUGUCGUGAUGGCAAUCUAAUUUGUGUGGGCUGAGAAGAGAAUAAAAGGUGAAGAAAAACGGAAAGCACAGAUGACCUUUUGGAAGGAAUUUCACGAUGAAGGGAGCAGAAAAAUAGGACAUGGCUAGAGAGGAUAUGAAAUAAAAGUUUGUUUUUAAAUGGGAGAGAUAACCUCUAUGUAUGCUAAUAUGAAGGAUCCAGGAGAGAUGAAAAAUUUAAUAGUGCAGGGGAAAAGGAAUAGCUACAGAAGGAGAGCUGGGGAAUAAGAAAGGGAUUCUGCACACAAGUGGAACGGCUGACAUUAGAUGUGAGUGGAUUCAGCCUGUCCAUUUUAACGAGGGGAGGCAGACUAUGUGGACACAGGUGUACAUCGUUGCUAAAUUUGGCAGUGGGAAAUGAGUUGACGCUUUAGCCAAAGCAAGAGAGAUUCCACUUUUUGUGAAAUCCUCCUUUCCUUCCCAUAAGAAGUCACAGUCUACCCAUCUGGGGGCAAUUUUCUUCAUAGGCGUUAAGAAGAGGUAUGUGAGCUAUUUCUUCUCUCAGGAAAAUGCCCCAUCAUGGAGCCUUUAAUAGUUUACCAGCAAAUGUGGAAAUUCUCCCAGGUCCAAUUUAGAUCUGGCAGAGAAGAUGAAUAUUACUAGUCAGUCAGUAACUGCCUGUAACAGAUGUUUUUGUUGAAUGUUAACAUGAACAGUUCUAUUUGGCCUUUUCAGAACUGGAAUUAAGAAAUAAAAGAAACAGCUAAGGGUACAUUGAGACCCAGGUGGGAAAAAUCCUUUGACCGGAGCCACAAAAUAGAAUGUCUAGUAAAAGCUUUAACACCCAAGAACUGUGUGACCUUGGGGAAAUCACUGUGUCUUAAUUGUUUGAUCUGUAAGAGGGAGAAAAAGAGUGAAUAUCAAGCAAAGGCAGGUGUUUGUGGAUAUAUGGACUUUCUACAAACUAUUAGUAGGAAUUUUAGGAAAAUGUAAGCUUUUUGUGGGGACAGCAUAAAACAAACCAAGCAAAUGAGUAUUUCCAACAAUUUGAUGCCUAAGAUUAACUUAGUUCAGAUAACUUAGAAAAGAAAACCAGAAUUAAAUGGUUCAAAAUACAAAUUGCAUUUUUUACAGAGUCAAAUCCCCUUGAAAGCAAAGCCUAUUUUUUCUCUCUUUUUGAAUUAAACUUCCAUUUCCCUAGUCAGCCAGUACAGUUGCUUAAAGAAAAUUUACUCAUCUGAAAAAUGGUGUAUAAAUAGCUAUUACCAGAGGUGACUUUAGUUACUACAGACAAGGGCUCACUGCAGUGGAAUUACAGUGCAGCUCACCUUUGGUGUUCUCCAGUGUAACAAUCACACCUGCUGAGGUUCCGUAGGUAGGACCCAGGCUUUCGCCAAUGAGACACUGCUGCUCCUGGCACUUCAUGCCACCUCUACAUGCCACUGUCACAGUGAGAAUUCACCUGGACUUGAAGAAGAUCAGUGCUCUGUAAAUUGAUUGUUUACAUUGUUGAAGACAAAGUCCCUAGGAACAGGCUUUUUAAAAUGGCACAGGAGCAGCAAUUUGUGGAUGCUACACUCAAGACAGUUUAAAGAACUGGUUAAUGUUCUUAGUUAUUGAUCUAAAGGACCAUUCUGAUAAUGACUAAGCUCAAACUAGGUGUACCUCCCAUCCAUUGUAUCCAAAUCCAGCUUCCCCAUUCUUGACAGGGUAAAAGCAAAGGAUGCAUUGCAUAAGCACUUACAGAUAAAUUCAGCUCAUCCUCUUGUGUUGAAAAUGCCAAUUACUGAGAAACAUUUACUAUGUGAUUAUUUACCAUCAAUAGCAUUUGUUUUCUUGUUUUCAUUGAAACAUAUACUUUUUUUUUUUUUUUUUGAGACAGAGUCUCCCUCUGUCGCCCAGGCUGGAGUGCAGUGGCGUGAGCUCGGCUCACUGCAACCUCCACUUCCCAGGUUCAAUCAAUUCUCCUGCCGCAGCCUCUCGAGUAGCUGGGACUACAAGCACGUGCCACCACUCCCAGCUCAUUUUUGUAUUUUCAGUAGAGACAGGGUUUCGCCAUGUUGGCCAGGCUGGUCUUGAACUCCUGACCUCAAGUGUUCUACCCACCUCAGCCUCUUAAAGUGCUGGGAUUACAGGCAUGAGCCACUAUGGCCAGCCUGAAACAUACUUUAAACUUUGCUUUUUUAAAAUUAACACAAUAUAAACUUUGAAGAAAUAGAAUGAGGAAUACAGUAUUUCAUUUUACAUUCUUAUUUAGGGUUCAGGUCCAGAUGCUUAGAAAACAGUAUAGACAACUGGAGCCAUUUCCUAUGGACAUUGACCCACCAUUCAGAAUCCACCUGUGAGGUACAGAGAUAAUGAUCAUUGUGAUAAGAACCAUCACGGAGUGUAGACAAGGUUAUUUUGAUAGUUCAUAGGCUCUAUGCACUCUUACUUUUGGAGACUCUUAUCUUUUAUUACACAUAUUAAAAUGCUCUCAUUCCACAUUAAAUGUAAUAUAUACAUGAGUUGAAUGGAGUUGCCCUCAACUAGUUGACCUAAUGUCACAAUCCAGAGACAUUUAAUUAAACACUUGUAAUUUCAAUGUUGCUGUCUUCCUUGCAAUAUUGUGCGGCCAAUAAAAUAUUUUUAAUCUUUCAAACAUUUCUGUGGAGGUUGACUCAAACACUUGUUCAUUUCAACACUGCAAUUUUCUUUUCCUGUUUUUUUGGAGUCAAUGAUUUUUUUUUUGUUUGUAAUGUCAUAAACACUUCUAUGGGUGCAUGAAAAACUUAUGGAACUAUGUAUGGCAUGGUGCCUUAGGGCUUAAAAGAUAAAAUGGCCCUAGAUGUUGACAAGGACCUUGGCCUUGAACAAUGCCUGAAGCUUUAGCUGUGUCAAAUUUAAGAACAAAUUGCACUGCAAUGUAAAUAUUUCUCAUGGCAUUCCACCUUCUCUUUACCAAAUCCAAUGAAAUAAUUCUUCAAAACUUUUCAUCCAGAUUUUGCUUUUCCUUUCUUCUUCCGCAACAUUUUUAUAGACCGUUAUCAUGUCAGACACAAACUAUUACAAUAGACUUUUAUUUUGUCUCCCUGCCUGAAGUUCUUUUGUCCUUCAAUAGAGGGUGAACAGAUUAGCCUUGCUAAAUAGUUAAGUAUAUUUAAUUAACCAACUAAUUAAAUUGACUUGUCUAUUUUGUAGUAAUUUACUAUGAAUUUUUGCAGUUUAAACAUAAAUGUUUGGCUUUAUCUAAAAUAGCUUCUACGUUUCCAAGAAAUCUUUUCUACUUACUUUUCUUUGACUAUAUUUAUCACUUUCUCACCCUUGUUUGUCCAUUAAUCCAGGCAUUCAACAAAUAUUAUUAAGUACCUACAGAGUCUCAGACAUCACACUAGUCACCAAGGAUUCCGUGAUGAAUAAGAGCAAUACCUGCCUUUUUUAUUUAUUUAUUUUAAAUUUUAUUUUAUCUUAUUUUAAGUUCCAGGAUACAUGUGCAGGACGUGUAGGUUUGUUACAGAGGUAAACGUGUGCCAUGGUGAUUUGCUGCACCUAUCAACCUAUCACCUAGGUAUUAAGCCCCACAUGCAUUAGCUCUUUAUCCUGAUGCUCUCCCUCUGCCAUCCCCAACCCCUGUGACAGGCCGCAGUGUGUGUUGUUCCCCUCCCUGUGUCCAUGUGUUCUCAUUGUUUAGCUACCGCUUAUAAGUGAGAACAUGCAGUGUUUUCUGUUCCUUUGUCAGUUUGCUGAGGAUAAUGGCUUCCAGCUCCAUCCAUGUCCCUGCAAAGGACAUGAUCUCGUUCCUUUUUAUGGCUGCAUAGUAUUCCAUGGUGUAUAUAAGGUAGUCCUAUUUUAGAAAGGGCAAAUAAUAAAAUACAUAUGUCUGAAAUGCCACUGGUUCUUUGAUAGAGGUAAGUACAGACUACAGUGAAAACCACAAAGGAAAAAUGGUCUAUUCUGCCUGAUUUGGGGAAUAAAGGGGAGGGGAGGGUGGUUCAGGAAAAGCUUAUUUCUGGAAAAUGUAUAAUCAUCUGCCUGAUAUACAUUUGGGCAAGGGCACUCCAGGCAGAAGUAGUACUAUGAGCAAAGGCAUCAAGGCAAGAAAGACAUUUAAAAAAUAUUGUUGGCUGGGCACAGUGGCUCACAUCUGUAAUCCCUGCACUUUAGGAGGCCAAGGCAGGCAGAUCAUGAGGUCAGGAUUUUGAGACCAACCUGACCAACAUGGUGAAACCCCAUCUCUACUAAAAAUACAAAAAUUAGUCUGGCAUGGUGGCGCCCACCUGUAAUCCCAGCUACUCAGGAGGCUGAGGCAGGAUAAUUGCUUGAACCCGGGAGGCAGAGGUUGCAGUGAGCCGAGAUCGCACCACUGCACUCCA
rnacentral:lncRNA from 1 species